UGAUGCGUAUGUGAGUACUUCCGUGAAAGCUCAUUCUCUGAAGGAUAACAGCGAGCGAGAAAUAGAGAGGCAGGAGAGAGAGAGAGAGAGAGAGAGAGAAUGACGGCGGGGUGGGUUUCUCCUUCCCCUUCGCCGCCGCUGCCGGCGGCGGCGGCGGCACAGCUGCUCCGCCGCGUGCCCGCUCGAGCUUCGUCUUUUCCGGCAUCUCCAGCUCGUCGGAGGAGGCCGAGCCCCUCCGCAGCAUCGCCCGGCCCGCCGCCACCAGGUAGCGACCCUCCUCGCCGGCCGCCGCAGCCGCCGCUCCAGGAAGCCUCCUCCGCCGCCGGCAACAAUCGCUUCCUUCCUCAGGUCAGCGCCGCCGUCCUUCCUAAUCCGCCCAAAAUUUUCUGUUCCAUCUGUCCACGAAUCGGGUAUUUCCGGUCAUCUGCUCCAGAUCUCUUCUCCUCCCCUUUCUCUCGUAGAAUUUAAUAUCGUCUCUGAUGACGAUUCUGUUCAAAAGAAACCCAUUGUGGAUCAUAAUCAGUCGGUAGUUUUAGAUAAGAUCGGAUGAACUCUAGGCUUACUUUUCGAGCGGGAACAGGAGGACGUGGACUACCUGUGGAAGGCGACGGUGGGCUCCGUCGCCGGCGGCGCGGCCAUAAAGUACGGCAGUGCGAUCUUCCCGGAGAUGACGCGGCCAAGCCUGACGCAGGCGCUGCUGAUGAUCGGAUUGCCGGUGCUCGUCUCC
rnacentral:lncRNA from 1 species